GAAGCUGGAAUCGCUAGUAAUCGCAGAUCAGAAUGCUGCGGUGAAUACGUUCCCGGGUCUUGUACACACCGCCCGUCACACCAUGGGAGCCGGGAAUGCCCGAAGUCGGUGACCCAACCGUAAGGAGGGAGCCGCCGAAGGCAGGCCUGGUAACUGGGGUGAAGUCGUAACAAGGUAUC
rnacentral:rRNA from 1 species